rnacentral:rRNA from 1 species
UACGGAGGUGGCAAGCGUUGUUCGGAAUCACUGGGCUUAAAGGGCGCGUAGGCGGGCCAGCCAGUCUGUGGUGAAAGCCUCCAGCUUAACUGGAGAAGUGGCCGUGGAUAACUGGCUGGCCUCGAGGAGGGUAGGGGCAUCUGGAACGGUCGGUGGAGCGGUGAAAUGCGUUGAUAUCGACCGGAACUCCGGUGGCGAAGGCGAGGUGCUGGGCCCUUUCUGACGCUGAUGCGCGAAAGCCAGGGGAGCAAACGGG